UCUCUCUCUCUCUCUCUCUCUCUCUCUCUCUCUCUCUCACACACACACACACACACACACACACACAAACACACCUGCUCUAUCUCCCUGAACUAACAGGAGAAUUCCUGCCACAUAUUUUCUUUUUCCUCAUUGUCCAGUGUAGCCUUCCAAAUUCUGUAUGGGACAAGGGUUUCAACACUUGAUUGAAAAGAAGGACAUCAUCAUCAUCUUUUCAGCUGUUAAAGGCCUUCUCCUCCAUCUUCAUCUUUUCCUGCUCCCUCUGUGUCUUUGGAAUAAGCAAGAAGAGAGGUCCAGGUCUCACGCGCAACACUGCCCAGUGUGGUACCCUGGGCAAAGAAAAUGGGGCAGAUACAUCUGCUGCCAGCUUAGAGGUGAUGAACACAUUUUUGAAGAGGUUCCCCCUUUGAACAGAGAAACUGAACUGCGUGGGAUUUGUCUCUUUUCCAAAACUAUGAUUCUGUGAUUGUCUCUUACAAUCACUAUAAAACAAUUUAUUGAUAUCAUAUAUAGGCUGCCUUUUUGGGCAUAGCCCACCCAAGGAGGUAUAUAAUGUCUCAACACACACACACAUACACACACACACGAAAAAAAAAUGGCAGCAGCAUUCACAAUAAUUUAAAACAGAAGUCAGUUAAAACAAUUAUUUUUAUUUUUUAAAAAGCAGACAUGAAUAUAAAUCACAGCACAGCUAACUUCCUAACAGAAUAGCUCAGUUAGGGGGUGGGGGUGGGGCAGAACCUGAAUUACUUAAGUAUUUUUAUUGAUUUACAUGGGAGGGCAGCCAUGGCCCAUGGCCCAGUUUAGGAGAAAAUGAGUCUGGAAAAGGUGGGUUUUCAGGCCCAUUAAAAAACCCUUUGGGUGUUACGGACUACA